UACGGAGGGGGCUAGCGUUGUUCGGAAUCAUUGGGCGUAAAGAGCGUGUAGGCGGUCCGGUAAGUCCGCUGUGAAAGUCGGGGGCUCAACCCUCGAAUGCCGGUGGAUACUGUCGGGCUAGAGUGCGGAAGAGGCGAGUGGAAUUCCUGGUGUAGCGGUGAAAUGCGCAGAUAUCAGGAGGAACACCAAUUGCGAAGGCAGCUCGCUGGGACGUUACUGACGCUGAGACGCGAAAGCGUGGGGAGCAAACAGG
rnacentral:rRNA from 1 species